rnacentral:rRNA from 1 species
AUGUUGGUGAAGCUGAUAAAUGGGCGAUGGGAGGUGACGCACUUUGUUCGUGACCACAAUCAUCCGCUGGUGAACAAACCUUCAUUGUCCAAAUACUUGAGAUCCCACCAAGGCAUCUCACCUGAUGAAAAGGAGUUUUUGCGCAUCUUGUAUAACUACAACUUGACUACAGGACGUAUGAUGCAUAUAAUGGCAGAGUUCUACGGAUCUGAGAUGAUGGUGUCGUUCGGACCAAAGGCAAUAACAAAUUUGUGUAUAAGUUUUCAUAGAGAUGACACAAAGGAGGGUGACAUGAUUGAGACAAUUGCGCACUUCAAGGAUACACAGAAAAUUGAUCCAGACUUCUUCUAUAAGGUAAAAUAUGAUGAAAAGGACAGAGUUGUCAACAUAUUUUGGGUGGAUGGCUUAGCUCGAAAAGCUUAUGUUGAGGCGUACCACGAUUGCAUAUCGUUUGACACUACCUACAUGAGCAACAUGUAUAAUAUGCCGUUCGCACCCUUCAUUGAAAUAAACCGACAUGGCCAAUCUUUCAUGCUCGGUUGCGCGUUUGUA